AUGGUACAGGAAACUGAAAUAGACUGUUUGUUAAGGGCACGCAGUAUUAGAUGUGGAAGCCAAGUAGAGAAAGAUGAAGAGAGAUUUUUUUCACGUCUUAUACAGACACAGAACUGCCUGCCUGCCUGGAAGCAACUAAACGUAUACUGAAAACUUGCAGUAUUCUACGUGCCUCUUUCCAAGCUCAGUUCUGCUUUAUAUUUCCAUUGUAGUGUUCAAAAAUAAUUUGAAUUUCUACAGCUCGUUAUAACUAUUUACGUUCAGCUUGCCAUUAUUUGCUGCCACGUAUCAUCCUUAUAUCUUUUCUGGUUUGAAUGUAAUAAGAAGACAAAUGAAAUUACUUGCCAAGAUACUACUGUCUUGUACAAAAAAGUCCUUAGGCUAGUGUUUUAACAGCAAGAUCUAAUGCAACUACUUCCAAACUUCACCUGUGUUUGCAGAACUUCACUCUAUGAACUUCUGUUCAAAACUAGUGACUAUUCAGGGUUAAUAGCCUGAAGUGCUACAGGUCACAUUUAUCAAGUAAUAUUUUUACAUUUCAAAGGUGACAGUAAGCACAUUCUAAUUCUCAAAAGUCAUAUCCACUAUUUAAGAGCUAGCUCAAGCUGCUUUGAAAUUCUAAAAAUUAACUUCUUGAAGAGUUUGACGCAUUUUGCAGGAACAAACUUUGGCCUAUAUUUACUCUUUUUGAGAGCUGGCUCUUAUACAACUACAAGAUCAUAAUACAAAUUGACUCAAGUAUGAAUGAAGAAAAGCGUGUUUAACCUUUUCACUUAAAACCUCUCUCCCCAAAAUACUUUCAUAUGUCAGAUAUGUUAUCCAUUAUAAUUUACCAAUCACGUAGAAUUUCAAAUUUAAUGUUUAAAAGAACUAGCAAGAGUUUCCUUAACAAUCAAUGACAUAUGGUCAUUUGUUUUCUUGGGCCCUUUGUGCACAGACAGGGUUAAAUACAAUGUAAUAGAGACUGGAGUUUCCUCAAUUCUGAUAGUAAGAUAUGCCUGUGCUAAUUUCUGUGUGGCAAAAGCAAAGUGAUCAGUUUGUUAGUGUUUUAAUUUUAGAUGCAAAUCUUUUAUAUUGUGACUUUAUAGCUCCAUAACAAGUAUAUCACAAAUGGAAGUAUUUUAGUACUGGAUUACAAAAUUAUUUUUUUCUUUGAUGGGAAGAGCCAUUUUCCCCUGUAUUUUCCUUUUGUACUAGUGCAGAAUUCUAGACCUUCUUUGUAUGGAAAUGCAGUUGGUACUCCCAAACCAGCAAAGAACAGAACUGCAAGAAUCAAUGGUCAGGCAAACUAGCAAGAAACUAGAGGUUAAACAGCAGAAUUCAGAAACUUUGGAAGAAGCCUAAUAAAGAGAGGCCAAUUUUGGUGAAUACCA
rnacentral:lncRNA from 1 species